AGAGGCUAGAGUGCGUGUUAGUUAAAUUUGUCCCGCGGUGUCGAAAGGUGUUGCGUGGAAGUUAGCAGUAGGAAGUGCGGAAAUUUGUGUGCGUUAGAAAACCGAAUAAAAAGCCGUGCGACGGCUUUUAUUCUACCGUUUAGAUUGGCACUAUUCAUCGGCCCGCCACACCGCCCUUCGCCCACCGACGCGCUCUAGACCCACGCGCUAGUUUGGAAGAUUCUGCCGCUACAACCAAAUAAGGCAGAAGUGCGACGGUUUUACAUCGUUUGCUCAACUGAG